rnacentral:tRNA from 1 species
GGGCGGGUGCAGCGCGGUGGCCGCCGCCGUCGGCACCGCCGGUCCGGCCGGUCGCGAUAGGCUGGCCCUCGUGUUUGAAUCCCUCUCCGACCG